UGAGUCCUAAAGGCAGUUUUUGAAAUGUCAUUUUCAGCCACCCUAAUUUGAUGAUAUCCGGACCUUAGGUCUAACUUAGAAAAGAUUGUGGCACCAUGUAACUCAUCUAGGAGUUCAUCAACUAUAGGAAUAGGAAAUUCAACUUUAAUUGUCUCAGCAUUGAGUGACCUAUAGUCAAUACAAAGCCUCCAACUCCCAUCAGAUUUCCUAACUAAGAGGACAGGGGAUGAAAAAGGGCUCUGACUUGGGCGGAUAAGACCAUUUUUAAGCAAUUCAUUAACCAAUUUUUCUAUUUCAGCCUUUUGGAAGUAGGGGUAUCUAUAAGGUCAGACACAAACUGGUUUAGCUUCAUCUUUUAGCAUAAUAUGGUGAUCUUGGGUUCUAGAGGGAGGUAAUCCCUUCGGUUCCUCGAACACUUUGGAAAACUUUUGGAGUAGGGCCUGGAUUUCUGGACAUGGAAUAGACUCAAUAGAAUAAAAAGGCAUUUCCAAAUUAUCCAUCAGCUGUAUUACUAUCCCCUUAGAUUUGAUCAUGUUAGCUCUACCAAACUUAGUACCCUUAAUUAAUGUGUUACCAGAGGGAGGAAUACCUUGCAGGCAAUGUUGUUGGUCUCCUAACUUGAACUCCAUUCUGAGCUUGUUAAAAUCCAAAAGGAUUAGCCCCACAGUGCGCAUCCAUUGAACUCCCAAGACUGCAUCACAACCGCCCAAGGUAAGCAUGUAAAAAUCUGCUAUGUAGAUUUUACCCUGCAUCUUCAAGGGCAGAUCAGAACACUUUCCAGAACUGUAAACAGCAUCUCCAUUGGCCACUUUAACCAACAGCCCCUUAGAAGUUUCUAUCUGCACAUGGGCCCUUUUGGGAAUAGCUGGAUCCACAAAAUUGUGGGUGCUGCCAGUAUCAAUUAAUACCACCACUUCAUGCCCCAAUAUUUGGCCUUUCACCCGUAUAGUCUCGGGAUUUGGAGAUCCCAAGAUAGCGUGAAUUGAAAUUUCUGGUUCCACCAAUUGCUCCUCCAAGUGAACUUCUGAACCUUCACUAGUACCACCCAUUAAUGUGGGCCUUUCCACCAUCUCUUGAGAAGAGUUGGUUAGUAACAGAGGCCUAUUGUGAGUAAUGGGCCGAUUUUCCUCAGGUUCUUCCUCUCCCAAUUCCAUGAACAUCACCCUCCCUGUUUUGCACUGAUGUCCUGGGCCCCAUUUUUCAUCACAACUAAAGCAAAGGCCCUUCUC
rnacentral:lncRNA from 1 species